GGGACUAGGUGAUUUGGGGGCGGGGCGGAGGAAGUCAGGCUUGUGUCCUUCCUCCGCCCCGCCCCCAAAUCACCUAGUCCCAGUCUUUUCAU
rnacentral:miRNA from 1 species